rnacentral:lncRNA from 1 species
AACACAUAACAGGAAAUCCAAUCACGCAGAGACAUCAACCCAUCAAGUAAUUCAUAAAAAUUAAGAUUCAAUAGAUAUUCUCAACAAUUUCAAAAACAUUCAAGAGAUAACACAUUUAUAUAAUUUUGGCUCCCCUUACCUGGUGGGAUGCUUAACUUAGUUCACAGAUGCUCUACAGUACCCUCCUACAACGUUCGAAAAUGAACAGAACCUAGAAAUCACCAAUUUGGUGAUAGGACAAGCUUCUUUUAGAGCUGGAAUAUAAUGGAAAGAAAAAGAAAAAAAAAACGUGGAAAGUACAUGCAACCAGAAAAAUUGGUUGCUCUAGUUCAAGAACAGAAAAGAAGAAUAGGAGAAAUUUUCUUACCCGACGAAACGAGAAACCAAUCAGAUGGUUUCGUAGCCCUUGACUCCAGGAGCAAUAAUAUGCAAUCAAAUCACAACUCUAACGGUGGAAUAUGCUGGAAAUCUAGAGAGAAGUGAGAGCUUGAGUUAGGGCAAUGUUUCUGUUUUUGAGAGAGAAAAGAAAUUGGAGAAAUGAAAAUUCUGAAGCUGGGGAAGGGACCCCUCUCUUGGCCAUGUGCCCAAUACGAAUGGGCCUGGGGUCUUUCCAGAGGCCCAAUAGCCUUAUAAGUUAUGGGGUCCUUACACAGAUAAUGUCCUACAACCCCG